UCUUAACUCUUUCUCGCCACAGGCCAUAUCGCGUCGAUCCUGAGCGAUCGACGGCUAUAAAAUUUCAUACUUUCGGUUCAGUGCAUGCUAUGAAGACAGAAAUACCACCAAUCGAUUCAGAAAUAAAAGAUAGACUAGUUCCAAACGAUAGUUAUAGUCAUUAUUAACAUUGUAACGAUUUAUGGGCCUUUGAAAGUCAAACACGAUAAUAUUGUAUCAAAUUACGCAAUUGUCUGAACAAAAUAUAGACUAGCCAUACCUUUCGCUGAAAAUAACUUCGGCCCCUUCGCACAUAUCGUCUUUGUAAUAGUCUUGUUCGAUUCCCCAUCAAAAACACUAUUUAGAGUGUUAUUUGCAAGCCUGUAUCUUCAAAUCUGUAUCUUUUAUCAAUAUAUUUCCAUUUCUUGUCCGACUGUGAGCUCGAAGUGAGUUAAUCCCAACCGGAAAUACGUCUGAAAAACGUCAAAACAAUGCGACGUUUGUAUCAUAUGACCCUGGAAAGGCCAGAAAUGGAUUCGCAAGGUCAAAUUGCACCUACACGCGUGAGUUUGACGUCAUACCGGCCAACAGGAGCUUCUUAUUGGCCAAUUAUUGCGCAAUGUUCGCAAGUGCGAGUAAUACGUACUAAAACCCGAUACCUUGAAAAAUUCAAAAUAAAUAUUUCUAGUCGGCGUAUACAUACCAAACUUUCUACACGAAAGCGCUUGGAUACAAAGAGUAUUUUACACAUAUAGCCGUUCAGAAAAUGACGAAAAGUUCAAGAGAUAUUCAAGAUCUUGUAGAUAUAAAAUCUAGAAUCUUUGGCCAAGCAGUGAGUAAAUAUAUGAUUGUUUCGGUUUGUGUAAUGCUCUGACGGCACUUGACCCCCCGUUCGAAAGGUUAUUUUAGUAGGGUUUCAAUGGUGGCUUUUAUUUACAAGGGGGGUAAAUACUCGCGGAGAUAUUUAUAUUAGAAAAAUUGUGUCGUAAUCUGAUGCGAAAGGGGGUGGUCGAGAAAGAGUUAA